AAGGUUUUGGGUGACUUCCUUAAAUUUACAUCUAUCUUUUUGGGGACUUACAGUUGGCACACUUGGAUUUCCUGGUUGAAAUGGGUACUCUUUUGAAGGAUCAAGCUUGAAGGAGUAUUUUUGAUCAAUGACAUUUAAUUGCAGCCCACUGAAGAAAAUAAAGUCCAACCCCAAGACUACAGCAUAGGCUAGAGCUUGGGGUGAAAGUACAGCAGUAGCUAGAUAAAGAGGACCACGGCACCACGGUUGCAGCUGGUCUGAGAAUGUAAGCUGCCUCAUGAGAUUUUCAUUGAUGAGUGUGUAGCUUGCACCAGUGUCCACAAUGGCUUUACCUGACCAGGUAUCGAUGCAAAGGGGAACAACUAGUUGUUGAGCAACAGAGUUGGUGGAUGGGUGACCACCUGACUUGGAAUAAGGUUGUUUGCCGCUGGUGGAAUACGGUGGACCAGAUGUCUGAGCUGACUGGGGAGAGGUAUAGUGUGGACAUUUUCCUGGUGGAUGCUGUCCUCUACAUCUCCAGCACUGAACAGGGAUUUUCUCACUAGGUUGGUUUGAGGAGGGUCUUUGGGAUGUGGCUUGAUGCUUAGGGCCCAUUC